ACAUUCUUAACACAUUCAAGUUGGAUGGGAAGUGGUGUUUCCAAUGGAAGACGGGUGAGUAACACGUAAGAACCUGCCCUUGGGAGGGGAACAAUAGCUGGAAAUGGUUGCUAAUACCCCAUAGGCUGAGGAGCAAAAGGAGGAAUCCUCCCAAGGAGGGGCUCGCAUCUGAUUAGUUAGUUGGUGAGGCAAUGGCUUACCAAGGUGACGAUCAAUAGCUGGUCUGAGAGGAUGAUCAGCCACACUGGGACUGAGACACGACCCAGACUCCUACGGGAGGCAGCAGUGGGGAAUUUUCCACAAUGGGCGAUAGCCUGAUGGAGCAAUGUCGCGUGAAGGUAGAAGGCCCACGGGUCAUGAACUUCUUUUCUCGGAGAAGAAACAAUGACAGUAUCUGAGGAAUAAGCAUCGGCUAACUCUAUGCCAGCAGUCGCGGUAAGACAGAGGAUGCAAGCAUUAUUCGCAAUGAUUGGGCGUAAAGCGUCUGUAGGUGGAUUUUCAAGUCCGUCGUCAAAUCCCAAGGCUCAACCCUGGACAGGCAGUGGAAACUACCAAGAUGGAGUACGGUAGGGGCAGAGGGAAUUUUCGGUGGAGCGGUGAAAUGCGUUGAGAUCGAAAAGAACACCAACGGCGAAAGCACUCUGUUGGGCCGACACUAACACUGAGAGAUGAAAGCUAGGGGAGCAAAUGGGAUUAGAUACCCCAGUAGUCCUAGAUGUAAACGAUGGAUACUAAUUAUUGUGCGUAUCGACCCACGCAGUGUUGUAGCUAACGCGUUAAGUAUCUCGCCUGGGGAGUACGUUUGCAAGAAUGAAACUCAAAGGAAUUGACGGGGGCCCGCACAAGCAGUGGAGCAUGUGGUUCAAUUCGAUGCAAAGCGAAGAACCUUACCAGGGCUU
rnacentral:rRNA from 1 species